GUUAUUAGUUUAAGUUUAGAAUUUUAUUUUGAUUAAGUAGUGGUUUUAUAACU
rnacentral:tRNA from 1 species